CCCGAGCUUUCUUCAAUUCUGCGAGUGUUAUUAAGACCUCCACACGGCUGCCGGUAAUCCGUGUUGCAAGGAGAACCCACUACCGCGAGAAAGAUAGUGUAGCCUAGUCAUGUGGUUCGAGCAGGACAGGUGGAGCCGGUAAAGGUUAUAACAUCGGUGGCUCAGUGAACUAUUGACAGCAUCAGCAUUGCCCCAGAGAGCAGGAAACACAAAUAACACAGUCAGCUGGUCUGGGUGAGGCCUCCAGAACAACAGACCCAGGAUAAGGGCUGCGUGUCACUGAUGCUGGAGGAGAGUUACACAAAUACCCGUCUGCCAGGCCCCAGAGGGCAGGAAACACAAAGAACACUGGCAGCUGGUCUGGGUGAGGCCUCCAGAACAACAGACCCAGGAUACAGUGGAAAUCCAUUAUUGUCACACUGACCUGAGGUUGAGUCUUGCCCGAAGACAAUGGAGGACAUUAGAUUUCCCCAGACUGCUGAAGACUGGUACAGCAGAAACAAGAUCCCGAAGUACUGGUUUAUCACAUCUUGG